UCCUCAACAGGCCAUGGCAACAAGGCCACUUCACCAUCCCCGCAGUGAUUCCUCAGUAAUUCACCACCAGAAGCACCGUCACCUUCCUUCGGUGUCCCUCCACAAAGCCAGUUGGGACUUCUAGAUAUUUUUGAAGGCAUAUUGAACUAGAUGGUGUUCUAGGGUACUAAUUUCAAGCUGUCGUUCUCCUAACCAUGCCACCAUAGCAGCAAUUUUAUUCUGAUGCAUAGAUUUGUAUAGAGAGGGUAAGAAAUUAUUCCAUGAAGUGAUCCCUUCUCAGAAUUUUAAAUAAGAAAUGGAAAAACUUUCUGUACUCUCAGAGUUUUCAUAAUUUCCCCUGGGGUAGGAGGGCAGGUGCAGAAGGUGAGUCCAACAUGUUUGUAUCUGAUCUCGACUCUUUCUGACUCCCUUCCCUUCCAUACAAUCAUCUUGUACCAAGAGGGAUGUGCUUUUCCUUCCUCUUUUCUGUGCAGCAAUAUCCUCUCUUACAUCCUAUUCUCUUUCCAGAAAUACAUUGACUCUGCUCCUUUCACUAGGGCUAUGGUGGCAGAAAGGAUACAGGGAAAAACACACUGACUUUUUGAGAAGAGAAUAAAAUCUAACCUCCUAUGCACACAGCCUUUGAUGAGUCAGAAACAACACACAUUACACACAGACAUACACACACAGAUACACACACACAGAUACACACACACAUGUUAACUUCUACUAACGGGAAGAAAUUUAUUUAUUAAUUCAACACACAUUUGUUGUGACUCCAUGUAAGCACAGUGACUCUCAUGUAAACACAGUGGUGCACAAACAGGAAGCUAUUUUUAAAAAUAAAGCUGUAUUCUACACUUCAAGGAAAGAAAUAAGUAAUAAACAAAAUAAAUAAUACUGAAUAUAUCAAGUUAUUAUAAAAUGCUAAAAAGAAAUAAGGCCAGGUAAGACCAUAGAGAAUGACAGAUUAGUGGAAAAAUGCUUUAUUGGAUGUGGUGACUAGGGAAGGCCUUUAUCAUAAGACAACAUUUAAGCAGGGAACUGAACAAAGAUAAAGAAACAGCCACGUGGACGUGUGGUGGAAGAUCGUUUGAAGGAGGAGAAGAGCAAGUCAAAGGCCCUGAGGCAAGAGCACACUGGGCAUGUUCAAGGGCCUGCCCUGAACAAUCGUGUACAGGGAGUACAAGUCCCUCAGGCCUCUGCAGCAGCAGGAAAUGGGCUCUGUCCAAGCCACUGGACUCCACUGAUGUGCUGAACAAGUGGAACUCGUCUUUUUGAAAUGAAUGCCUCGGGUACGUCCUGUUCCCAGCUCCUUCUCCAGCACCCGCAGCCCCUCGGCUGACAUUUCAGAAACACAGCCCAAGCUGAAAUGGGCAGCCUGCCCAUGGAAGAGAUGGGGCAGAGGGAGACUGUGGCCUGUUCACACAGUUUGGUGGAAAGUGAAGACUGAAGGGGCUUGUAAGUAGCACAACUAAUAAAGCUCCUAUUUAUCUAAACCCA